ACAUCAAUGUUCAUCAUAGUGCAAAAAAUCUCACAUAUCUAAAUGACACUUCUCUUUUACAGCAUCCAGAGAUUACCAUUGUCUCAAUCCAUGCUCUUGAGCUUUACAAUUCCAUUAACAGCUUCAAUAUCUGCAAGAUUCAUUCUUCAUGAGAAUCUAAAACUUGCAGAAAUAGCAGGUAAAGUAACAAUUACAUAUGAGAAAAUGACAAUUGACAAAACACAAAACCUGAUUGUGAAUAACUUGCAUCUUCUUUCUCAGCCAUUGUUUCCAGUUUCUUUGGUGUAAUCUUCAUCAUCAGAUCAAUGGUCAGCGUGCAAGGUACAGAAGUGAGUUAAUAAAUCCUUUUGGAUCUUUUAUUGUCAUGAAACUAUAAAAGUUCAAAAUGACAUUCUUACCCUUUUACAUAUCUUAUAUCUCUAUGAACUUG
rnacentral:lncRNA from 1 species